rnacentral:rRNA from 1 species
AACAAUGAAUAUUACAUAUUAGAUUUAAUAUUUUUUGAAUCCCCAAAAUCUAGUAUAGAAAGUUAACACGUUAAAUAUUUCCCCCGGGGAGUAAAACCCCAAGGGUGAAACUCAAAGGGAUUGACGGGAGCUUAUACCUACCGGGGAGCAUGGGGUUUAAUCCCAUUGUCCGCGGGGAAUCUUACCAAUUUUUGACAAGUUAUUUUUUUUUUAAAAAUACAGGUGUUGCAUGGCCGUCGUCAGCUUAUGUUUUGAAAUUUAAUAUAUAAGUACAACCCUUAUUUUAAUUUGCUAUAAUUUAAAAAGAAUAAUAUAAUAUGUAAGGAGAAUUAAAUUUCCAUAUAUAUAAAUAUAUAAUAAAUAAUAAGAUUAUAUAUUUAUAUUAAAAGGAUGAAGAUAGUCG